ACUAGCGUCCGUGGCCACGUCUCCUUUUUGCUUUUUGCGCGUGAAUUACUGUAGCAGCAUGGAGAUGGGGCGCUCGGGACUCUUUCCCCUCCUCUUGCCUCCGCGAUUGCCUCCUCCCCUCUCCUCUCUCUCUCUCCCGUCUCCUCCCUCUCAACCCUCGCUGCCACCACCCACCCUCUACUGCUCCACCACGCACCCUCCUCCCCUCUGGAUCAGGUGCAGGCCAGCCGGUGCGCGCAGGCGGCGGCGCUCCACUCGAGGGCAAAGGGAGGCAACGGCGACGGUAGCCGCCGUGGACACCCGCGGCUAUGACGAACCCCGCCGCCAGGAGGCCGCCAUGGAGGCCCGUCCCGAGCUCGCGUCACCGCUCCUCCGGUGACCCUCGUUGCGCCUGGAUCCGGGCGGAUCCGACGAUUCCCCAACGCGCAGGCGGGCCAGCACGCGACGCUAGGCGGAGGAGCCCUCCCAUGGCAGUGUCAAUGGUGGUGGGUUUGCCAUAGGAUAUGCACUGGCCAGUGUGCGCAUGCCGGUGUACGCGCACAUGAUGUACCUCAAGAUCUCAGUUCUCACUAUGACCAUAGGUAUGCUCAAUGGUUUGGCCUGAACUUUAAAUUAGUCAUGUGCUGCAUUUGUGGUCAUGCAGGUGCAGCUAACAACAGAAAUCCAAUUGAUGACUGUUGAUUAUGCUAUUGCUUAUGGGGCCUUUCUUAAGAGUUGAGAAGUGAAUAGGCAGAGCAACAGCAAAGGCCUGCCGGUGUGAAUUUCUCAGAAUGGGAAUUGCUACAGUGGCGGCGACGACACAUCAGCAGCGGCGGUGCAGCAGUAUGGUACCCUGCCUCCACCUUGCCACCAGCCUCCUCUACCUCGCGAUGGUGGCGUCUCCGACCUCCAACUCUGGCAUUCAAGACCUGGCAGGGCUGGGUCAACCGGCCCUUCGUGUUCAAGACCCGGCUCUGAUGAGCCUUGACAGCCGUGCUACCUGCUUGGCAUAUUCAUCCUGAGCUGUGUCCGGAACCAGACCAGUAGGGGCACCCUGAGCGAGCACUCGAGGCAUGCUGUCAAGUUGGACGAGUGCAACCAGGCCAGCUGCCGUGUGUGUCCAUGGUUCAUACAGCAAGGUGUUCGCUCAUCCUUGGCCAGAACGAGCACUACAAGAGGAACCCCCCCUGCAUAUUUUUCAUUCCUUGAUAGAUGGUUACAUUGUUGUAUGUUGGUUAAAGACAAUGUUUUUCUUCUCGAAUUAUGAAACCUCAAACAACACUAAGAUAUAACCGUUUUGUUCGUUUUGCAAUCAAAGCUUCCAUCGAAUAAUGUUUUAGAAUUGUGCUCCGUCUUAUUCAUAAAGUGUGGCUAUUUUGUAGAUUCAUACAAGA